GACGAACCGUGCGAACGUUAUUCGGAAUCACUGGGCUUAAAGCGCGUGUAGGCGGAUGGGGACGUCGGUCGCUGAAAGCCCCCGGCUCAACCGGGGAACGGGCGCCGAAACGCCCCGUCUGGAGGGACGUAGGGGGACCUGGAACUUCCGGUGGAGCGGUGAAAUGCGUAGAGAUCAGGAAGAACAUCGGUGGCGAAGGCGCUCUGCUGGACCAUAACUGACACUCAGGGACGAAAGCUAGGGGAGCGAAUGGG
rnacentral:rRNA from 1 species